rnacentral:tRNA from 1 species
CGCAGGGUGGAGCAGUUGGCAGCUCGUCGGGCUCAUAACCCGGAGGCCGNAGGUUCGAGUCCUCNCCCUGCUA